rnacentral:rRNA from 1 species
AUACAGAGGGUGCGGGCGUUAAUCGGAAUUACUGGGCGUAAAGCGCGCGUAGGCGGCUUAUUAAGUCAGAUGUGAAAUCCCCGGGCUCAACCUGGGAACUGCAUCUGAUACUGGUAAGCUAGAGUUUUGGAGAGGGAAGUAGAAUUUCAGGUGUAGCGGUGAAAUGCAUAGAGAUCUGAAGGAAUACCAGUGGCGAAGGCGACUUCCUGGCCAAAAACUGACGCUGAGGUGCGAAAGCGUGGGUAGCAAACGGGAUUAGAAACCCCAGUAGUCC